UCUGAUUCUUUGUCAAACAAUGUCUAUGUUUUGUGUAUGUUCACUUACAACUGAACUAAACCUCAACUGUAGAAAGCGCACACUAAAAAAAUGAUAGGAUAAAUCAAGGGUGUGCAGAAUAAACUUUACCGAACAAGACUAACUAGGAAUUGCAUCCUAGCAAUUGCGCAAGAACCAAAGAGGGUUGCACCAGUUUAUCUUCACCACAUGAGCACACAAUUGCUAAAGUGUGUGCAUGCGCGCAUAAAUUUCUGUUGUGUUAUCAAACAAGGUCUAUGUUUUCUAUAAAUUUACUUACAACUAAACUGAACCUCAAUUGUAGAAAGCACAUGAUGGUCCUGAAGCAAAGAAUGGUCAUGCUGAAAAUAACAAUGAGACCAAGCAAGGUGGUCCUGAACCAAGUGUACAACUUCAUCAUAUCACUAAGCAGGGUAGCUCAAGAUUUAGAAAAGGAGUGCAUUGCAGGAGCCAGGAGCAACUAUAGAAGAAUUAGUCUUUAGAUGGACAAGUAUUAUGUAUUAUAUAAAGAUUUUAGAUUUGUAGGAAAACUUAGUUAUAGUUUCUAUGAUCUCUUCUUAAUUAUUUGCAUAUUUUUUAUGAAGAUCUGAUUUGAUUCAGUUGUGAACCAAAAGUGUUUGUUCCUACUAAUUGAAAUUGUGCGAAUGGGAUUGUUGUGGAUACAAUUGGUGAUAUGGGUGGAUCCCUUCAUAUAAUGAUAUUUGUUGUUCA